CAACUGUCCCUCUCUCCCUUUGCCCACCUUGAAAGAAAGGCGCACCUCCCCCCCACGGCCUUUGUGCCCUGAGUCAGCAACAGGAGGGCAGAUCUGGUGCUGUGUCUCGUAGGAGGCACAGCAAAGGAGUGGGGCCAAAGGUAGCUUUGAGCAAGGCAGUGCCAGGAAUCAAACCCAGAAGUCCCUGAUGCCUUGUCCCAGCUGAUGCUAGAUCCUCAGUCCCCAUUCUGGAAGUGGGGAUAGAUCCGGAGUCCAAAUGUCCAUCCACCUUCUUCUAACCAGUCAAGUUUUUAGAUUCAAAUGUCGUUUGGUAUCCAGUCAAGUGCCUUACAGAAACCUAGGAAGGGAGAAGAGCUUCCACAGGCACACUGUGGAGGAAGCGACACCUGCAGGUGGAGAGAGCUGAACAGAAUUUGGAGAUUGGCCUAGAUCUGGGGUUGCUGCGGAGAAGGACAUUACAGAGAAAGCAUCAGAGGGCUGGAGAUUUCCGAACCCUGAAGCCACCACAAGAGCAAGAACCGGGUCCAAAGAGAUGUCGGGGGCCAGAUCCCGAAAUCCAAUAAUGCACUUUGUACAGCGUCUUCUCCCAUGUGGCAGCAGGGUGCAGGGGGGCUGAAACAAUUUGUAUAGCGGGGAUGCUGAGAGCCGUUGAACCAACCUGUAAAUCCUGUGUCUAAUGGAAACCACUUCAAGUCAGGGGGUGCGGCAGGGUGAAGACCAAAGCUAUGGCAGAGGGAGAUAUGGCGAUGUCUGCUGGGCUGGAGAGCUGAGAAGGCAGAGGGACUUGGAGAGGUGGAUCCAAAGAGGGGGGUGUCAGGCAUGGACUCUCUCUUGAUCUGUGUGUGUACAACCCCUAAUCCAGUGGGGCCCAGAGGGUUUGGGGCCUCUGGGUGCUACCACAAUAAUAA